rnacentral:lncRNA from 1 species
UAUAUCACACAUUAGUUAUCAGCUAUAUACAGUUAUUAGUGUGUAAAAAAUACAUUGAUGUAUGUGAUGUCUGUAUCUAUAUGAUGUGUAUAUAUUGAUAUGUUUGUGUGUAAAGUAAAAAUUGUCUAUAUACACUCACACUAACACUCAUGCUCACACUCACACACUCACAUUCAUACUCAUACUUACACUCACACUCACACUCUCACACUCACACUCACACUCUCACACUCGCACUCAUACUCACACUCACAAUCACAAUCACAAAAAUAUAUGCUACACAUAUGUGUUGUGUAUAGACUGAUGUGUGUUUAUAUACGAUAUGUAUAUACUGAUAUAUUUAUGUGUGUAUGUAUGCUUGCUAUCAAUUAUAUAUAAUUAUCAAUGUAUAUAUACAUUGAAAUACGUAUGCACAUGCACCCUUACGCAUUGAUAGUGCAUACAUACAUUUCUAUUUAUAUUUAUA